rnacentral:misc_RNA from 1 species
UAAUGUUGAAAAAAAGAAAGAGCAUACGUGCCUACAUAUAAUGCAACCUUUUGGAGUUACAACAUAAAGCAAGCUGUUAUCGACCACUUGCAAAGCUUGUGAACUUGAGGCACUUCAAUGAAUGAAGAGCAUCAAUAUGUUGUAGUUCGAAUGUAAUUCUUUCUGAUUGAAUGUAAGUUGUUGAGUGCAUCACUUAUGUCCAUUCUAUCUUGAGGA